UGGGGAAUAUUGGACAAUGGGCGAAAGCCUGAUCCAGCAAUGCCGCGUGAGUGAUGAAGGCCUUAGGGUUGUAAAGCUCUUUUACCCGGGAUGAUAACGACAGUACCGGGAGAAUAAGCUCCGGCUAACUCCGUGCCAGCAGCCGCGGUAAUACGGAGGGAGCUAGCGUUGUUCGGAAUUACUGGGCGUAAAGCGCGCGUAGGCGGCUACUCAAGUCAGGGGUGAAAGCCCGGGGCUCAACCCCGGAAUUGCCUUUGAAACUAGGUAGCUAGAAUCUUGGAGAGGUCAGUGGAAUUCCGAGUGUAGAGGUGAAAUUCGUAGAUAUUCGGAGGAACACCAGUGGCGAAGGCGGCUCACUGGCUCGACACUGACGCUGAGGUGCGAAAGCGUGGGGAGCAAA
rnacentral:rRNA from 1 species